rnacentral:lncRNA from 1 species
AUCCCUUUUUACAAAUCAGGUGAUUCUACUUUCCCAGUUUGGGAGUAAGACAACUUCUUCAUCGUUCCAAUCGAACUAGGAUGAAUCUCUUUGUAAGAAGCUUGAUAUGGAUACCUAAAGUGGUGCAGAAUGACCAGGAAGUUGAAAAAUAUUUCAUAGGAGCUGAGAAGAAGAAGUUAUCCCACAUUCAAAUUAGUUGAUUCCAGUUUCCCAAUUUGGGAAUAAGACAACUUCUUCGUCGUUCCAAUCGAACUAGGAUGAAUCACUUUGUAAGAAGCUUGAUAUUGAUACCUAAAGUGGUGUAUAAUGACCAGGAAGUUGAAAAAAAAUCUCAUAGGAGUUGGGAAAAAGGAGUUAUCCCACUUUCAAAUCAGUUGAUUCCGGUUUCCCAGUUUGGGAAAAAGACAACUUCUUCGUCGUUCCAAUCGAACCAGGAUGAAUCACUUUGUAAGAAGCUUGAUAUGGAUACAUAAAGUGGUGGAGAAUGACCAGAAAGUUGAAAAAAAUCUCAUAGGAGCUGGGAAGAAGAAGUUAUCCCACUUUCAAAUCAGUUGAUUCCAGUUUCCCAGUUUGAGAAUAAGACAACUUCUUCGUUGUUCAAAUCGAACCAGGAUGAAUCACUUUGUAAGAAGCUUGAUUUGGAUACAUAAAGUGGUGGAGAAUCACCUGGAAGUUGAAUAAAUCUCAUUGGAGUAGGGAAGAAGAAGUUAUCCCUUUUUACAAAUCAGGUGAUUCUAGUUUCCCAGUUUGGGAAUAAGACAACUUCUUCAUCGUUCCAAUCGAACUAGGAUGAACCACUUUGUAAGAAGCCUGAUAUGGUUACAUAAAGUGGUGGAGAAUGACCAGGAAGUUAAAUAAAUCUCAUAGGAGUUGGGAAGAAGAAGUUAUCCCACUUUCAAAUCAGUUGAUUCUAGUUUCCCAGUUUGGGAAUAAGACAACUUCUUCGUCGUUCCAAUCGAACUAGGAUGAAUCCCUUUGUAAGAAGAUUGAUAUGGAUACAUAAAGUGGUGGAGAAUGACCAGGAAGUUGAAAAAAAUCUCAUAGGAGCUGGGAAGAAGAAGUUAUCCCACUUUCAAAUCAGUUGAUUCCAGUUUCCCAGUUAGGGAAUAUGACAACUUCUUCGUCGUUCCAAUCGAACCAGGAUGAAUCACUUUAUAAGAAGCUUGAUCUGGAUACAUAAAGUGGUGGAGAAUGACCAGGAAGUUGAAAAAAAUCUCAUAGAAGCUGGGAAGAAGAAGUUAUCCCACUUUCAAAUCAGUUGAUUCCAGUUUUCCAAUUUGGGAAUAAGACAACUUCUUCGUUGUUCCAAUCGAACCAGGAUGAAUCACUUUGUAAGAAGCUUGAUAUGGAUACAUAAACUGGA